rnacentral:lncRNA from 1 species
GUGAUCUUAUCCACCAGUGGCUGCCAUUGGACUAAAUACAUUUUCUUGGUAGAUAAGGGAACUCCCAAGUAUUUGAAAGGCAACUCCCCAUAUACAUAGCCAAGAUGAUCAACAAUUUGAUGUUGGAUAUCAGUAGGAACACCACCAAAGUAAACAGAACUCUUACUCAGAUUAGCUUUCAUCCCAGAGGCUUGAGUGAAGUGAGAAAAGUACUUAAACAUGGCUGCU